rnacentral:lncRNA from 1 species
UAAUAAAUUCGGAUUCGGCAAAAAUUCGGGACAGGUAUAAUUCGGAUAUAAUUCUCCUUUGAAUUUUUAAAUUCGUUGAAAAAUACGGCUAAAAAACGGAUUCGGUAAUUAUUCGGAUACGUGAUUUAUACGGAUAUUAUAUGUUCACCAAUUAAAAAUUCGGAAUAAAAAAUUCAGCUAUAUAAUAAAUAUAUAAUAAUUAAUAUACUAUAUAUAUUAUUAUUAUAAUUUUUAUAUAUAGAUUAAAUAUAUUU